GUCAUGACUUGGGAUAGCUCCAUUGAUAGAGUAUGAGACUCUUAAUCUCAGGGUCAUGGGUUUGAACCCCAUGCUUGAUU